UUACUUACCUGGAUGGGGUCAAUGAGUGAUCAAAAAGGCUCAUGGCCUAGGUUGGUGACCUCCAUUGCACUUAGGAGGGGUGCCAGCCUAAGGUGUUCUCAAGUAGAACAGCCUGCAUCAUAAUUUGUGGCAGAGGGGGCCUGCGUUCGCGCGGCCCCUA